CGAAAUAUUAUUUAAAAAGUAACCAUAACUAUAUUGCCAAAUAAUUGUUUCUAAUUUUGAUGAUAGGUUAACUAUUUUCCGCAUUUAUAAAUGCCAUAAUAGCUCACAUUUACUCACGCACGUUUAUGGCAGUCAAGAAGCCUAUAUUUACCUACUUUUGGGCUCAAAAACAGCCCCACGCACACACAUACAUUUCCAAACAUAUUACACAACACACUAACUAACAUGCCAUUUCACAAGAAUUUGAAUAACUUGCCCAAACUCUUAGAUCCAUAAUUUCCUUAAACAGCAUGAAAUAAAGAAAUUCAUAUAACUUACUAGAAUCCCCACUUCUCUUGAAUUUACUGAGACUUAAUCAUCAAAAUAACACAAAAUCGCAAGAAAUUUUCUAUAUUUCUCAACUAACUCGCAAGACUAAUCUUUCCCCAAUUAGUAGCUUUUUUAUUUUAUUUUUUAUUUGUUCUCUUUUGUCCAAAAUUACCACCACCUAGUGAAAAUUCAAAAUAUUUAAACUCGAGAGUCUCCACAUAUUCAAUCCUAUCAAAUUUAUUUAAUUUUUUUUAGUAUUUUUAAUUAUCAAUUUUAGAAAUUUCAACU
rnacentral:lncRNA from 1 species